rnacentral:tRNA from 1 species
GCAGUGGUGGUUCAGUGGUAAAAUUCUCGCCUCCCAUGCAGGAGACCAGGGUUUUAUUCCCAGCCAAUGCA